rnacentral:misc_RNA from 1 species
GAAAUGCGAUAAGUAAUGUGAAUUGCAGAAUUCAGUGAAUCAUCGAAUCUUUGAACGCACCUUGCGCUCCUUGGUAUUCCUUGGAGCAUGCCUGUUUGAGUAUCAUGAAAUCUUCAAAGUAAAUCUUUUGUUAACUCAUUGGUUUCUACUUUGGUAUUGGAGGUCUUUGCAGCUUCACACCUGCUCCUCUUUGUUCAUUAGCUGGAUCUCAGUGUUAUGCUUGGUUCCACUCGGCGUGAUAAGUUAUCUAUCGCUGAGGACACUGUAAAAGGUGGCCAAGGUAAAUGCAGAUGAACCGCUUCUAAUAGUCCAUUGACUUGGACAAUACUUUUAUGAUCUGAUCUCAAAUCAGGUAGGACUACCCGCUGAACUUAAGC